rnacentral:rRNA from 1 species
GAGUAAUGUAUAGGAAUCUACCUAGUAGUACGGAAUAAUUGUUGGAAACGGCAACUAAUACCGUAUACGCCCUACGGGGAAAGAUUUAUCGCUAUUAGAUGAGCCUAUAUUAGAUUAGCUAGUUGGUAAGGUAAUGGCUUACCAAGGCAAUGAUCUAUAGCUGAUCUGAGAGGAUGAUCAGCCACACUGGAACUGAGAUACGGUCCAGACUCCUACGGGAGGCAGCAGUGGGGAAUAUUGGACAAUGGGCGAAAGCCUGAUCCAGCCAUGCCGCAUGAGUGAAGAAGGCCUUUGGGUUGUAAAGCUCUUUCGGUGAGGAAGAUAAUGACGGUACUCACAGAAGAAGUCCUGGCUAACUCCGUGCCAGCAGCCGCGGUAAUACGGAGAGGGCUAGCGUUAUUCGGAAUUAUUGGGCGUAAAGAGCGCGUAGGCUGGUUAGUAAGUUAAAAGUGAAAUCCCAAAGCUCAACUUUGGAAUUGCUUUUAAAACUGCUAACCUAGAGAUUGAAAGAGGAUAGAGGAAUUCCUAGUGUAGAGGUGAAAUUCGUAAAUAUUANGAGGAACACCAGUGGCNA